CGCCUGUCCUACGCAGCCCGGAUUCUGUGGGAGCUGCGCCGUUCUUUCUAUCCGUAGCACCACAUGAUUCGGCUUCGUGGUGCAGGGC
rfam:Drosophila ananassae strain TSC#14024-0371.13 Ctg01_19586, whole genome shotgun sequence.